rnacentral:rRNA from 1 species
AGUGAACGCUGGCGGUAGGCCUAACACAUGCAAGUCGAACGGCAGCACAGUAAGAGCUUGCUCUUACGGGUGGCGAGUGGCGGACGGGUGAGGAAUACAUCGGAAUCUACUUUUUCGUGGGGGAUAAUGUAGGGAAACUUACGCUAAUACCGCAUACGACCUACGGGUGAAAGCAGGGGAUCUUCGGACCUUGCGCGAUUGAAUGAGCCGAUGUCGGAUUAGCUAGUUGGCGGGGUAAAGGCCCACCAAGGCGACGAUCCGUAGCUGGUCUGAGAGGAUGAUCAGCCACACUGGAACUGAGACACGGUCCAGACUCCUACGGGAGGCGGCAGUGGGGAAUAUUGGACAAAGGGCGCAAGCCUGAUCCAGCCAUACCGCGUGGGUGAAGAAGGCCUUCGGGUUGUAAAGCCCUUUUGUUGGGAAAGAAAAGCAGCAGGUUAAUACCCCGCUGUUCUGACGGUACCCAAAGAAUAAGCACCGGCUAACUUCGUG